CCUACGGGAGGCAGCAGUGGGGAAUAUUGGGCAAUGGGCGCAAGCCUGACCCAGCAACGCCGCGUGAAGGAAGAAGGCUCUAGGGUUGUAAACUUCUUUUCUCAGGGACGAAGCAAGUGACGGUACCUGCGGCAUAAGCCACGGCUAACUACGUGCCAGCAGCCGCGGCAAUACGGAGGUGGCAAGCGUUAUCCGGAUUUACUGGGUGUAAAGGGCGUGUAGGGGGGAAAGCAAGUCAGAUGUGAAAACCAUGGGCUCAACCUGUGGCCUGCAUUUGAAACUGUUUGUCUUGAGUACUGGAGAGGCAGGCGGAAUGCCUAGUGUAGCGGUGAAAUGCGUAGAUAUUAGGAGGAACCCCGGUGGCGAAGGCAGUCUGCUGGACAGCAACUGACGCUGAGGCGCGAAAGCGUGGGGAGCAAACAGGAUUAGAUACCCGUGUAGUC
rnacentral:rRNA from 1 species